rnacentral:rRNA from 1 species
UACCAGCACCCCGAGUGGUCGGGACGAUUAUUGGGCCUAAAGCAUCCGUAGCCGGUCCUACAAGUCUUCCGUUAAAUCCACCUGCUUAACAGAUGGGCUGCGGAAGAUACUAUAGGGCUAGGAGGCGGGAGAGGCAAGCGGUACUCAGUGGGUAGGGGUAAAAUCCUCUGAUCCAUUGAAGACCGCCAGUGGCGAAGGCGGCUUGCCAGAACGCGCUCGACGGUGAGGGAUGAAAGCUGGGGGAGCAAACCGG